rnacentral:ncRNA from 2 species
AGCAGCCGCGGUAAUUCCAGCUCCAAUAGCGUAUAUUAAAGUUGUUGCAGUUAAAAAGCUCGUAGUUGAAUUUCGGGGUCUGUCCGUCGGUCGGGCUUCACGGUCCGUACUGGUGUGAUGGGUUCCUACCUUCUGAAUAACCGGCAUGCCAUUCAGUUGGUGCGCCGGGGAAGCAGAGCUAUUACCUUGAAAAAUUAGAGUGCUUAAAGCAGGCUAGUGCUUGAAUAGAUUAGCAUGGAAUAAUAAAAUAGGACGGCAUGGUUCUAUUUUGUUGGUUUCUAGGAUCACCGUAAUGAUUAAUAGGGAUAGUUGGGGGCAUUAGUAUUCAAUUGUCAGAGGUGAAAUUCUUGGAUUUAUUGAAGACUAACUUCUGCGAAAGCAUUUGCCAAGGAUGUUUUCAUUAAUCAAGAACGAAAGUUAGGGGAUCGAAGACGAUCAGAUACCGUCGUAGUCUUAACCAUAAACUAUGCCGACUAGGGAUCGGACGAUGUUAAUUUUUAAUGACUCGUUCGGCGCCUUA